rnacentral:misc_RNA from 1 species
GUGUGACGUUUGCAGCCCGCCGGCCAGGAAGCCGCGAGAUGCGUGACGAGCGAAGCGCGUGACGGAGGAGCGGUUGGCCAACGCAGUGGCGGCAGUCGGUGUAAACAAGGCCUCGCGCCGCUGCGGGUCCUGCGACCGCUCCUGGCUGAGCACGCUUUGCUUUCACCAAACCCAAGGAGGUGACAGGAGGAGCCCCCGCACAGGACCUAAGAAUGCUGUGACCAGAAGAUGGGAUCGCGGAACAGCAGCAGUGCAGGAUCCGGGUCCGGAGACCCCUCCGAGGGCUUGCCCCGAAGAGGGGCUGGCCUGCGUCGGAGUGAGGAAGAGGAAGAAGAGGAUGAAGAUGUGGAUCUGGCCCAGAGGCCAAGUGAGGUUGGUGCAGGGAGGAGGUGCAGCAAAUUUACAAUUCAUUCAGGCCCUCUUGGACUCAGAGGAAGAGAAUGACAGAGCUUGGGAUGGUCGUCUUGGGGAUCGAUACAACCCACCUGUGGAUGCUACCCCUGACACCCGGGAGCUGGAAUUCAAUGAGAUCAAGACACAAGUGGAACUGGCCACAGGGCAGCUGGGG